rnacentral:rRNA from 1 species
GGGAAUUUUCCGCAAUGGGCGAAAGCCUGACGGAGCAACGCCGCGUGAGGGAUGAAGGCCUCUGGGCUGUAAACCUCUUUUCUCAAGGAAGAAGAACUGACGGUACUUGAGGAAUAAGCCACGGCUAAUUCCGUGCCAGCAGCCGCGGUAAUACGGGAGUGGCAAGCGUUAUCCGGAAUUAUUGGGCGUAAAGCGUCCGCAGGCGGCCUUUCAAGUCUGCUGUUAAAGCGUGGAGCUUAACUCCAUUAAGGCAGUGGAAACUGUUGGGCUUGAGUGUGGUAGGGGCAGAGGGAAUUCCCGGUGUAGCGGUGAAAUGCGUAGAUAUCGGGAAGAACACCAGUGGCGAAGGCGCUCUGCUGGGCCAUAACUGACGCUCAUGGACGAAAGCCAGGGGAGCGAAAGGGAUUAGAUACCCCUGUAGUCA